AACAAACGCUGGCGGCGUGCCUAAUACAUGCAAGUCGAACGGGGAAAGCUUUCGGGUGAGUACUAGUGGCGCACGGGUGAGUAACGCGUGGAUAAUCUGCCUUAGAGUGGGGGAUAACUAGUCGAAAGAUUAGCUAAUACCGCAUAAGACCACAAGAACUGCGGUUCAAGGGGUCAAAGGUUUUUCGCUCUAAGAUGAGUCCGCGUAAGAUUAGCUAGUUGGUGAGGUAAUGGCUCACUAAGGCGACGAUCUUUAACUGGUCUGAGAGGAUGAUCAGUCACACUGGAACUGAGACACGGUCCAGACUCCUACGGGAGGCAGCAGUAGGGAAUAUUGCACAAUGGAGGGAACUCUGAUGCAGCGACGCCGCGUGAGUGAUGAAGGCCUUCGGGUCGUAAAGCUCUGUCGCAAGGGAAUAACACAAUGAAUGUACCUUGCAAGAAAGGAUCGGCUAACUUCGUGCCAGCAGCCGCGGUAA
rnacentral:rRNA from 1 species